ACGUAGACGCUAUUCCCUAAGAUUAACCCAUGCAUGUUUUUGACAUUUAUUUGAAAAAUGGACUGCUCAGUAAUACUCACUUUAUUUAAUGUACAUUUGAAAAUAACUACGUUAAAGUGUAGAUAAAAUGUGUACAGUAAGAGUGAGACCUAUCAGCUAGUUGUUAAGGUAAUGGCUUAACAAGGCAGUGACGGGUAACGGUAUUACUUUGUAAUAUUCCGGAGAAGGAGCCUGAGAGACGGCUACUAAGUCUAAGGAUUGCAGCAGGGGCGAAACUUGACCUAUGGAUUUUAUCUGAGGCAGUUAUGGGAAGUAAUAUUAUAUUGUUUCAUAUUGUAAAAGUAUAUGAGGUGAUUAAUUGGAGGGCAAAUCAAGUGCCAGCAGCCGCGGUAAUACUUGUUCCAAGAGUGUGUAUGAUGAUUGAUGCAGUUAAAAAGUCCGUAGUUUAUAUUUAAGAAGCAAUAUGAGGUGUACUGUAUAGUUGGGAGAGAGAUGAAAUGUGACGACCCUGACUGGACGAACAGAAGCGAAAGCUGUACACUUGUAUGUAUUUUUUGAACAAGGACGUAAGCUGGAGGAGCGAAGAUGAUUAGAUACCAUUGUAGUUCCAGCAGUAAACUAUGCCAACGAUGUGAUAUGAUAUUAAUUGUAUUACAUGAUAGAAAUUUGAGUUUUUUGGCUCUGGGGAUAGUAUGAUCGCAAGAUUGAAAAUUAAAGAAAUUGACGGAAGAAUACCACAAGGAGUGGAUUGUGCGGCUUAAUUUGACUCAACGCGAGGUAACUUACCAAUAUUUUAUUAUUC
rnacentral:rRNA from 1 species